CUAUGUUUUAGCUAAUACAGCAUAGGAGUUAGAGGAUAGUAAAGCUCUUAGGUCAUGUUUCUCCGUUUUUUAACUAUGAUCUGAGCUGUGAGUGUCGGGGGAGAUGUAGAUUAAGACUCCUAUUUGUAUGACUGAAAACCCCUAAGCUAUGGGGCAAUAGGGGGGUGGGGGAGGAAUGAAACUUAGUGAUACUGCAAAUACAUGUCAACUUGCUGUUUAAAUGGGAUCAAUAGUGACAUUUGUCCGCUAGACCUAGGCUGCAUUCAGCAAGGUUUGACAUGUCUCCUAGAGGCAUUAGUACUAAACAGAAGGCAUAAUGAAAUAUUAAGAAAGCAGAACGAAAAAUAAAGGACAAACAAAGACUGAAUUCCAGUACACUUUCAUGUCACUGAGUUGCUGGUUCCCUUGGGUACGAAAGGGUUGAUUCUGGAGACGUCCCAGGUAUGACUUGUGACCGGUUUGUCGGUCUGUUCCUGCAGGCCUAGUGCUUGGAGGAAGGCCGUUCCCUCUGAGGGUCGUAUGGCUUUGAUAGUCUUUUCAUUUUUGGAUGAACGUGAGAGCCCACAGUAAAGUGGCUCUGCUUAAGUCCUGAAAGAAUGUGAGUGUUUGCGAUUCAAAUUGUAGUGGAGUCUUUCCCUUCAGGGCACUGAGGAGCUUUUGCUUAUCGGCAAGGGUUUGGAAAUACAGGAUGAUGUUGUGGGGAGCCUUAUUCGGUGCCUGUGAGGAUUUGGCUAAUCAUUAUACUCUGAUGAAGGCAAAUUGUUUUGCUGUUUUUGCAGGUAAGACAGAGGAGGCUAGGCGUGUGACGAAGUUCCUCAGGUGGGAGUGAGUCCACCACUUUACGGAUCUUAAUAUUUCUAUUCCGCUCUCUGUCCUCCAACUGGGCCAUCCGGAUACCUUGGUGUGGUUUGAAGUAGUUGCACUGUCUCACUUAUGGAAGUCAGUCCUUCAAAUCGAGGAGGUCUGCCUCAGUUGCUUGGACCAUGUUUGUUACUGCUUGCACCUCUGUUUACACAUUCCUUAUCUUAGCCGAGAACAUUUGCUUGAUGUGUACUAGCAAGUUAUAUAUGUCCUGCUUGGUGGACGGUGCAUUACCAUGGGCUAUUGCUGGGGCCUCCGGCACGUAGAGCAUCUCUAAAUAAGAUAAUAAUUUUUGGAGCGCCCUUCCAAUAAAGGAAAUUUAGAGAUCUAUUUAGAGUUGGUAUGAUUUAAAGUUGCUGCUACAAAACACUCUAAAUGUGAUGCCCUCAAACACACUUAAUGUACAUAAAAGAAAAGAGUAAAUAAGGGUGGAGCAGUGUAUCAUAAAAUAACUAUUUAGGUGAUAUACCCCAAAUAUAUAUG